rnacentral:rRNA from 1 species
GUGCAGCAGGCGCGAAAACUCCGCAAUGCGCGAAAGCGUGACGGGGUCACCCCGAGUGCCGUCCGCUGAGGAUGGCUUUUGCCUGGUCUAACCAGCCGGGUGAAUAAGGGGAGGGCAAGUCUGGUGUCAGCCGCCGCGGUAAUACCAGCUCCCCGAGUGGUGACCACUAUUAUUGGGCCUAAAGCGUCCGUAGCCGGUUUUGUAAGUUUCUGGGUAAAUCCCACAGCUUAACUGCGGGAAUUCCAGAAAUACUGCAGAGCUAGGGGGCGAGAGACGCAGAAGGUACUCCUGGGGUAGGGGUGAAAUCCUAUAAUCCGAGGGGGACCACCAGUGGCGAAGGCGGUCUGCGAGAACGGGCUCGACGGUGAGGGACGAAAGCCAGGGGCGCAAACGGGAUUAGAUACCCGCGUAGUCC